UAAUAAGUGUUUUAUGGUACUUUUUAAAUCCAUAUCCACCUUGUGUGCAAUGUCAGUCGAUCUUCUUCAUGGAGAUCGACCAAACAUCAACCUUUAUCUUUUAACUCUUUGUCUGAAGAAUAUUAUGAAUAAACAAUUCAAAAUA
rnacentral:misc_RNA from 1 species